AGAUCCUGCACACAGUGGGUGGACGUGGAAGACGACACGAGACCUGCAUCACAGAGACCAACUGGCGGCUUCGGGAAUGGUGUCUUGAGGCAGGCUUCAGCUUCCAAGACGACCCACACAUCACAACGAGAGACAUACUCGGGUGGGAUGGGCUUCACCUUUCCCCCAAAGGUAACCAUGUAUUCUCCGCUAGGUUGGCGGAUCUC